GAUGAACGCUGGCGGCGUGCUUAACACAUGCAAGUCGAACGGAAAGGCUCCUGCUUGCAGGGGUACUCGAGUGGCGAACGGGUGAGUAACACGUGGGUGAUCUGCCCUGCACUUCGGGAUAAGCCUGGGAAACUGGGUCUAAUACCGGAUAGGACCACAUUUUGGAUGGUGUGGUGGAAAGUUUUUCGGUGUGGGAUGAGCUCGCGGCCUAUCAGCUUGUUGGUGGGGUAAUGGCCUACCAAGGCGUCGACGGGUAGCCGGCCUGAGAGGGUGUACGGCCACAUUGGGACUGAGAUACGGCCCAGACUCCUACGGGAGGCAGCAGUGGGGAAUAUUGCACAAUGGGCGCAAGCCUGAUGCAGCGACGCCGCGUGGGGGAUGACGGCCUUCGGGUUGCAAACUCCUUUCGCUAGGGACGAAGCGCAAGUGACGGUACCUGGAGAAGAAGCACCGGCUAACUACGUG
rnacentral:rRNA from 1 species